CUUGACGGUACCUAAYCAGAAAGCCACGGCUAACUACGUGCCAGCAGCCGCGGUAAUACGUAGGUGGCAAGCGUUGUCCGGAAUUAUUGGGCGUAAAGGGCUCGYAGGCGGUUUCUUAAGUCUGAUGUGAAAGCCCCCGGCUCAACCGGGGAGGGUCAUUGGAAACUGGGAAACUUGAGUGCAGAAAGAGGAAAGUGGAAUUCCAYGUGUAGCGGUGAAAUGCGCAGAGAUAUGGAGGAACACCAGUGGCGAAGGCGACUUUCUGGUCUGUAACUGACGCUGAUGWGCGAAAGCGUGGGGAUCAAACAGGAUUAGAUACCCUGGUAGUCCACGCCGUAAACGAUGAGUGCUAAGUGUUAGGGGGUUUCCGCCCCUUAGUGCUGCAGCUAACGCAUUAAGCACUCCGCCUGGGGAGUACGRCCGC
rnacentral:rRNA from 1 species